UACGAAGGGGGCUAGCGUUGCUCGGAAUCACUGGGCGUAAAGGGUGCGCAGGCGGGUCUUUAAGUCAGGGGUGAAAUCCUGGAGCUCAACUCCAGAACUGCCUUCGAUACUGGAAGACUUGAGUCCGGGAGAGGUGAGUGGAACUGCGAGUGUAGAGGUGAAAUUCGUAGAUAUUCGCAAGAACACCAGUGGCGAAGGCGGCUCACUGGCCCGGUACUGACGCUGAGGUGCGAAAGCGUGGGGAGCAAACAGG
rnacentral:rRNA from 1 species